GUUCAUCAGCAGAAAUCGUCCUGACUCAGACUCCUAAAGCUCAGUCUGUUGUUCCAGGACAGACUGUCUCUGUCAGAUGUAAAUCCAGUACAUCUAUAGGUGAUGACAUUGACUGGUACCUUCAGAAAUCUGGAAAAGCUCCUAAACUCCUGAUCUAUGAUACUACAGCUCGUCAGUCUGGAGUUCCAGAUCGUUUUCGGGCAACAGCAGUUCAGACUGACUUCACUCUGAUCAUCAGUGGAGUUCAAACUGAAGAUGCAGGAGUUUAUUACUGUCAGCAGCGUAACAGCCGCCCGUUCACACAGUGAUACAACACCGUACAAAAACCUCA